GGAUGAACGCUAGCGGCAGGCUUAACACAUGCAAGUCGAGGGGUAACAUUGUGCUUGCACAGAUGACGACCGGCGCACGGGUGCGUAACGCGUAUAGAACCUACCUUUUACUGGAGAAUAGCCUUUAGAAAUGAAGAUUAAUGCUCCAUGGUAUUGAGUUUUGGCAUCAAGACUUAAUUAAAGAUUUAUUGGUAAAAGAUGGCUAUGCGUCCUAUUAGUUAGAUGGUAAGGUAACGGCUUACCAUGACUUUGAUAGGUAGGGGUCCUGAGAGGGAGAUCCCCCACACUGGUACUGAGACACGGACCAGACUCCUACGGGAGGCAGCAGUGAGGAAUAUUGGGCAAUGGAGGCAACUCUGACCCAGCCAUGCCGCGUGAAGGAUGACUGCCCUAUGGGUUGUAAACUUCUUUUAUACAGGAAGAAACACUGGUAUGUAUACCAGCUUGACGGUACUGUAAGAAUAAGGACCGGCUAACUCCGUGCCAGCAGCCGCGGUAAUACGGAGGGUCCGAGCGUUAUCCGGAAUCAUUGGGUUUAAAGGGUCCGCAGGCGGUCGAUUAAGUCAGAGGUGAAAUCCCAUAGCUCAACUAUGGAACUGCCUUUGAUACUGGUUGACUUGAGUCAUAUGGAAGUAGAUAGAAUGUGUAGUGUAGCGGUGAAAUGCAUAGAUAUUACACAGAAUACCGAUUGCGAAGGCAGUCUACUACGUAUGUACUGACGCUGAGGGACGAAAGCGUGGGGAGCGAACAGGAUUAGAUACCCUGGUAGUCCACGCCGUAAACGAUGGAUACUAGUUGUUGGGCAUUAGCUCAGUGACUAAGCGAAAGUGAUAA
rnacentral:rRNA from 1 species